rnacentral:tRNA from 1 species
UCUACCAAAGGAUAAUAGUAUUC